AACGAACGCUGGCGGCAGGCUUAACACAUGCAAGUCGAACGGGUGUAGCAAUACAUCAGUGGCAGACGGGUGCGUAACACGUGGGAACCUUCCUAGGGGUACGGAACAACUCAGGGAAACUUGAGCUAAUACCGUAUACGUCCGUGAGGAGAAAGAUUUAUCGCCCUUAGCAGGGCCCGCGGCGGAUGAGCUAGUUGGUGGGGUAACGGCCUACCAAGGCGACGAGCCGUAGCUGAUCUUAGAGGAUGAUCAGCCACACUGGGACUGAGACACGGCCCAGACUCCUACGGGAGGCAGCAGUGGGGAAUCUUGGACAAUGGGCGCAAGCCUGAUCCAGCCAUGCCGCGUGAGUGAAGAAGGUCUUCGGAUUGUAAAGCUCUUUUGCCAGGGACGAUAAUGACGGUACCUGGAGAAUAAGCCCCGGCAAACUUCGUGCCAGCCGCCGCCGUAACAC
rnacentral:rRNA from 1 species